CCAGCGUCAGACCAGAGCUUGCUCUCGGGCGACGAGCGGCGGACGGGUGAGUAAUGUCUGGGAAACUGCCUGAUGGAGGGGGAUAACUACUGGAAACGGUAGCUAAUACCGCAUAACGUCGCAAGACCAAAGUGGGGGACCUUCGGGCCUCAUGCCAUCAGAUGUGCCCAGAUGGGAUUAGCUAGUAGGUGGGGUAACGGCUCACCUAGGCGACGAUCCCUAGCUGGUCUGAGAGGAUGACCAGCCACACUGGAACUGAGACACGGUCCAGACUCCUACGGGAGGCAGCAGUGGGGAAUAUUGCACAAUGGGCGCAAGCCUGAUGCAGCCAUGCCGCGUGUGUGAAGAAGGCCUUCGGGUUGUAAAGCACUUUCAGCGGGGAGGAAGGCGGUGAGGUUAAUAACCUUGGCGAUUGACGUUACCCGCAGAAGAAGCACCGGCUAACUCCGUGCCAGCAGCCGCGGUAAUACGGAGGGUGCAAGCGUUAAUCGGAAUUACUGGGCGUAAAGCGCACGCAGGCGGUCUGUCAAGUCGGAUGUGAAAUCCCCGGGCUCAACCUGGGAACUGCAUUCGAAACUGGCAGGCUAGAGUCUUGUAGAGGGGGGUAGAAUUCCAGGUGUAGCGGUGAAAUGCGUAGAGAUCUGGAGGAAUACCGGUGGCGAAGGCGGCCCCCUGGACAAAGACUGACGCUCAGGUGCGAAAGCGUGGGGAGCAAACAGGAUUAGAUACCCUGGUAGUCCACGCCGUAAACGAUGUCGAUUUGGAGGUUGUGCCCUUGAGGCGUGGCUUCCGGAGCUAACGCGUUAAAUCGACCGCCUGGGGAGUACGGCCGCAAGGUUAAAACUCAAAUGAAUUGACGGGGGCCCGCACAAGCGGUGGAGCAUGUGGUUUAAUUCGAUGCAACGCGAAGAACCUUACCUGGUCUUGACAUCCACAGAACUUUCCAGAGAUGGAUUGGUGCCUUCGGGAACUGUGAAACAGGUGCUGCAUGGCUGUCGUCAGCUCGUGUUGUGAAAUGUUGGGUUAAGUCCCGCAACGAGCGCAACCCUUAUCCUUUGUUGCCAGCGGUUAGGCCGGGAACUCAAAGGAAACUGCCAGUGAUAAACUGGAAGGAAGGGGGGGAUGA
rnacentral:rRNA from 1 species